AGCGAACGCUGGCGGCAGGCUUAACACAUGCAAGUCGAGCGGGCGUAGCAAUACGUCAGCGGCAGACGGGUGAGUAACGCGUGGGAACAUACCUUUUGGUUCGGAACAACACAGGGAAACUUGUGCUAAUACCGGAUAAGCCCUUACGGGGAAGAUUUAUCGCCGAAAGAUUGGCCCGCGUCUGAUUAGCUAGUUGGUGAGGUAAUGGCUCACCAAGGCGACGAUCAGUAGCNGGUCUGAGAGGAUGAUCAGCCACAUU
rnacentral:rRNA from 1 species